CAGUAGCCGCGGGAAAACAGAGGGUGCAAGCGUUAAUCGGAAUUACUGGGCGUAAAGCGCGCGUAGGUGGUUUGUUAAGUUGGAUGUGAAAUCCCCGGGCUCAACCUGGGAACUGCAUCCAAAACUGGCAAGCUAGAGUAUGGUAGAGGGUGGUGGAAUUUCCUGUGUAGCGGUGAAAUGCGUAGAUAUAGGAAGAAACACCAGUGGCGAAGGCGACCACAUGGACUGAUACUGACACUGAGGUGCGAAAGCGUGGGGAGCAAACAGGAUUAGAUACCCCUGUAGUCCCUGUCUCUUAUAC
rnacentral:rRNA from 1 species